rnacentral:rRNA from 1 species
GAUGAACGCUGGCGGCGUGCCUAAUACAUGCAAGUCGAGCGAACAGACGAGGAGCUUGCUCCUCUGACGUUAGCGGCGGACGGGUGAGUAACACGUGGAUAACCUACCUAUAAGACUGGGAUAACUUCGGGAAACCGGAGCUAAUACCGGAUAAUAUAUUGAACCGCAUGGUUCAAUAGUGAAAGACGGUUUUGCUGUCACUUAUAGAUGGAUCCGCACCGCAUUAGCUAGUUGGUAAGGUAACGGCUUACCAAGGCAACGAUGCGUAGCCGACCUGAGAGGGUGAUCGGCCACACUGGAACUGAGACACGGUCCAGACUCCUACGGGAGGCAGCAGUAGGGAAUCUUCCGCAAAGGGCGAAAGCCUGACGGAGCAACGCCGCGUGAGUGAUGAAGGUCUUCGGAUCGUAAAACUCUGUUAUUAGGGAAGAACAAAUGUGUAAGUAACUAUGCACGUCUUGACGGUACCUAAUCAGAAAGCCACGGCUAACUACGUG